CUCCUCUUUUUGAAUACAAAAUUCUAAAUUGUCUAAGGUUUUGUAUAGAAGAACUAUACAAAUCCUUGUUAUUUUUCUAUUUUUUCUUUCUUACAUCAGUACAUGCCCCUUGUCUGAAGGAGGGUUGUUCUCAACCUGAUAGUAACAAACACAGGUCAAAGUCCGGUCUUUUACACAGGGCUUUGAUACAGACCAAAGAUCAAGCUAUAAAGGACCCCAAAAUUAUUAGCGUACACAAUUCGAACAGGAAAACCAACGAUCUAAUUUAUAUAUCCAAAAGGGAAAAUACCAAGGAACAACAUCAACAAACGAUAACUGCUAAACGACAGGCCCCUGAAUCAGGUGCAUAAACAUGCAGCGGUAAAGAUAGUUUUGUUUCGCCAGCAUACAAUAUACAUGUAAUUGCAGUUGAAGGCAAAUCCUCCAGAAGUUCUUUGUACUUUAUUCUAACAACGAACAUUUUCGAUAGGUAAUAAGUAAGGGGAAAGAAAACCAAUUUUUUGUUCUUUACAGGUAUUUCCGCUUUGGAUAAAUAGGUUUCAUGCUGAAACAAAUAUUCUCACAGAUAUUUACACAGUGUGGUGGGGUGCUUUUAUGUUUAAAAUCGUUAUAAACAGGUUAGACUGUGAUUUUCUAAAACAAAUGUUGAUAUCGUUUUAUAAUAUUUACAAAAAAACGGUGCAGGAAAUGGACAUGAUUACAUUUCCGGAUGCGGGAAGCGGGAAUAUAAAAAAAAAAAAAUCUGUUUUUUGAAAAAAUAGGUGCGGGCGGGUCCGUCGAACAAGGAAUCAAAUUGGUGUGGCCUCAGAAAACGUGUGAUCAAAUAAACCGAGGAGAAACAAGAAACAUUAAACCAUAAGUAAUAUUUUGAUAUAAUUCACCUACUCUUAUGAAGUAAAUGAUAAAUAUUAAGUUUAUGUUUCAGCUUUGAUGAUAUGACUUAGAUUGCUUAAUUUUAAUACCAACCAAAGCCAUAAACGGAAGGAUUUUAUUGAUUUGGAAAAGGGAUCACCAUUCGUGCUAGUCUUUUUCUUAAUGUGUAGACAGGAAAGGUUAGAGUGCUCCUGUACACAAGCGUUUCAACCAUAAGUAUAUCACAGCUCUAUUAUGUAAACUUAUCAUAGAGCUUGAAACAAUGUAUGGACACUCUUAUCUAUUUUUUUUUACCUCACAUACAUUAACUGGACAGAUCUUCAGAAUAAGUUGUUUUCUACUAUCUUAUUGACGUUUAUUCCUAGUUUUACAUAAAUAUAGAAAAGUGGCUUGAAU
rnacentral:lncRNA from 1 species